rnacentral:rRNA from 1 species
GACGUACGCUGGCGGCGUGCUUAACACAUGCAAGUCGAACGGAAAGGGCCUGCUUUUGUGGGGUGCUCGAGUAGCGAACGGGUGAGUAACACGUGAGUAACCUUCCCUUGACUUUGGGAUAACUUCAGGAAACUGGGGCUAAUACCGGAUAGGCGUUCCUCCUGCAUGGUGGGGGUUGGAUAGUUUCGGCGGUUGGGUAUGGACUCGCGGCUUAUCAGCUUGUUGGUGGGGUAGUGGCUUACCAAGGCUUUGACGGGUAGCCGGCCUGAGAGGGUGACCGGCCACAUUGGGACUGAGAUACGGCACAGACUCCUACGGGAGGCAGCAGUGGGGAAUAUUGCACAAUGGGCGGAAGCCUGAUGCAGCAACGCCGCGUGCGGGAUGACGGCCUUCGGGUUGUAAACCGCUUUCGCCUGUGACGAAGCGUGAGUGACGGUAAUGGGUAAAGAAGCACCGGCUAACUACGUG